rnacentral:rRNA from 1 species
GGCGAACGGGUGAGUAACGCGUUGGUGACCUGCCCCAAAGUGUGGGAUAACAGUUCGAAAGGACUGCUAAUACCGCAUGAAGUUACAGGCGUUAGAGAACUGUAACGAAAGGAGCAAUCCGCUCUGGGAGGGGCCUGCGUCCCAUCAGCUAGUUGGUAGGGUAAAAGCCUACCAAGGCGACGACGGGUAGGGGGCCUGAGAGGGUGACCCCCCACACUGGCACUGAAACACGGGCCAGACACCUACGGGUGGCAGCAGUAGGGAAUAUUGCACAAUGGGCGAAAGCCUGAUGCAGCAACGCCGCGUGCACGAUGAAGGCCUUCGGGUCGUAAGGUGCUUUUCGGGGAGAAGAGGAAGGACGGUAUCCCCGGAAUAAGGAUCGGCUAACUACGUGCCAGCAGCCGCGGUAAAACGUAGGAUCCGAGCGUUAUCCGAAUUCACUGGGCGUAAAGCGCGUGCAGGCGGUACGGUAAGUUGGAUGUGAAAGCUCCUGGCUCAACUGGGAGAGGACGUUCAAUACUGUC